UACGGGGGGGCAAGCGUUGUUCGGAAUUACUGGGCGUAAAGGGUUCGUAGGUGGCUCGCUAAGUCACACGUGAAAUCCCUCAGCUUAACUGGGGAACUGCGUGUGAGACUGGCAAGCUCGAGUGCAGGAGAGGAAUGCGGAAUUCCAGGUGUAGCGGUGAAAUGCGUAGAUAUCUGGAGGAACACCGGUGGCGAAGGCGGCAUUCUGGACUGCAACUGACACUGAGGAACGAAAGCCAGGGGAGCAAACGGG
rnacentral:rRNA from 1 species